rnacentral:rRNA from 1 species
AGAGUUUGAUCCUGGCUCAGAUUGAACGCUGGCGGAAUGCUUUACACUUGCAAGUCGAACGGCAGCACGGGUGCUUGCACCUGGUGGCGAGUGGCGAACGGGUGAGUAAUGCGUCGGAACGUACCGAGUAAUGGGGGAUAACGCAGCGAAAGUUGUGCUAAUACCGCAUACGCCCUGAGGGGGAAAGUGGGGGAUCGCAAGACCUCACGUUAUUCGAGCGGCCGACGUCUGAUUAGCUAGUUGGUGGGGUAAAGGCCUACCAAGGCGACGAUCAGUAGCGGGUCUGAGAGGACGACCAGCCACACUGGAACUGAGACACGGUCCAGACUCCUACGGGAGGCAGCAGUGGGGAAUUUUGGACAAUGGGGGCAACCCUGAUCCAGCCAUUCCGCGUGAGUGAAGAAGGCCUUCGGGUUGUAAAGCUCUUUCAGCUGGAACGAAACGGUGCGCUCUAACAUAGCGUGCUAAUGACGGUACCAGCAGAAGAAGCACCGGCUAACUACGUGCCAGCAGCCGCGGUAAUACGUAGGGUGCGAGCGUUAAUCGGAAUUACUGGGCGUAAAGCGUGCGCAGGCGGAUUGUUAAGCAAGAUGUGAAAUCCCCGGGCUUAACCUGGGAAUGGCAUUUUGAACUGGCAGUCUAGAGUGCGUCAGAGGGGGGUGGAAUUCCACGUGUAGCAGUGAAAUGCGUAGAUAUGUGGAGGAACACCAAUGGCGAAGGCAGCCCCCUGGGAUGACACUGACGCUCAUGUACGAAAGCGUGGGUAGCAAACAGGAUUAGAUACCCUGGUAGUCCACGCC